rnacentral:rRNA from 1 species
UACGUAGGGUGCAAGCGUUGUCCGGAAUUAUUGGGCGUAAAGAGCUCGUAGGCGGUUUGUCGCGUUGGCUGUGAAAACCUGAGGCUCAACCUCGGGCCUGCAGUCGAUACGGGCAAACUAGAGUUCGGUAGGGGAGACUGGAAUUCCUGGUGUAGCGGUGGAAUGCGCAGAUAUCAGGAGGAACACCAAUGGCGAAGGCAGGUCUCUGGGCCGAAACUGACGCUGAGGAGCGAAAGCGUGGGGAGCGAACAGG